rnacentral:rRNA from 1 species
GAUGAACGCUAGCGGCAGGCUUAACACAUGCAAGUCGAACGGUAACAGGAAAAGCUUGCUUUUCGCUGACGAGUGGCGAACGGGUGCGUAACACGUAUGCAACCUACCUUUAACUGAGGGAUAGCCCAAAGAAAUUUGGAUUAAUACCUCAUAAUAUUACGAGAUCUCAUGGUCAUGUAAUUAAAACUCCGGUGGUUAAAGAUGGGCAUGCGCAACAUUAGCUAGUUGGUAAGGUAACGGCUUACCAAGGCAACGAUGUUUAGGGGGUCUUAAAGGAUGGUCCCCCACACUGGUACUGAGACACGGACCAGACUCCUACGGGAGGCAGCAGUGAGGAAUAUUGGUCAAUGGACGAAAGUCUGAACCAGCCAUGCCGCGUGAAGGAUGACGGCCCUAUGGGUUGUAAACUUCUUUUAUAUAGGAAGAAACCCCUCUACGUGUAGAGGGCUGACGGUACUAUAAGAAUAAGCACCGGCUAACUCCGUG